CCUACGGGAGGCAGCAGUGAGGAAUAUUGGUCAAUGGACGAGAGUCUGAACCAGCCAAGUAGCGUGUAGGAUGACUGCCCUAUGGGUUGUAAACUUCUUUUAUAAGGGAAUAAAGCCAGGCACGUGUGCCUUUUUGUAUGUACCUUAUGAAUAAGGAUCGGCUAACUCCGUGCCAGCAGCCGCGGUAAUACGGAGGAUCCGAGCGUUAUCCGGAUUUAUUUGGUUUAAAGGGAGAGUAGAUGGGUUGUUAAAGCAGUGGGGAAAGUUUGCGGCUCAACCGUAAAAUUGCAGUUGAUACUGGGAGUCUUGAGUGCAGCUGAGGUAGGCGGAAUUCGUGGUGUAGCGGUGAAAUGCUUAGAUAUCACGAAGAACUCCGAGUGCGAAGGCAGCUUACUAGACUGUGACUGACACUGAUGCUCGAAAGUGUGGGUAUCAAACAGGAUUAGAUACCCGUGUAGUC
rnacentral:rRNA from 1 species